ACCAACUGGGAUUGCCUUAGUAGCUGCGAGCGAAGCGCGCAAAAGCUCAAAUUUGAAAUCUGACGUAAGUCCGAGUUGUAAUUUGCAGAGGAUGCCUCAAUGUCGGGUGCCGGUCUAAGUUUUCUGGAACGAAACGUCAUAGAGGGUGAGAACCCCGUGAACGGUCGGUUGCCCUGAUGUUAUACGUGGCUCCUUCAACGAGUCGAGUUGUUUGGGAAUGCAGCUCUAAGUGGGAGGUAAAUUUCUUCUAAGGCUAAAUACUGGCCAGAGACCGAUAGCGAACAAGUAGAGUGAUCGAAAGAUGAAAAGCACUUUGAAAAGAGAGUUAAAAAGUACGUGAAAUUGUUGAAAGGGAAGCGCUUGCAGUCAGACUUGCCUAAUGCUGCUCAAUUCGUCUUCGUGGCGAAUGUAUUCGGUUUUCAGGCAGGCCAACAUCAGUUUGGGCGGCAAGUUAAUGAUUCAGGAAAUGUAGCUUUCUUUCGGGGAAGUGUUAUAGUCCCGAAUGCCAUAUUGCCUGCCUGGACUGAGGAUGGCGUCUUUGACAAGGAUGUUGGCGUAAUGGCUGUAAGCGACCCGUCUUGAAACACGGACCAAGGAGUCUAACAUCUGCGCGAGUGUUUGAGUGUCAAACUCGCUCGCGUAAUGAAAGUAAACGAAGGUGGGAAUCCCGUUAAACGGAUGCACCAUCGACCGAUCCUGAUGUUUUCGGAUGGAUUUGAGUAAGAGCGCAGCUGUUGGGACCCGAAAGAUGGUGAACUAUGCCUGUGUAGGCUGAAGCCAGAGGAAACUCUGGUGGAAGGUCGCAGCGGUUCUGACGUGCAAAUCGAUCGUCAAACAUGGGUAUAGGGGCGAAAGACUAAUCGAACC
rnacentral:rRNA from 1 species